rnacentral:ncRNA from 1 species
GAGAGCCGUGUGCGGGAGAGCCGCACGUACGGUUUGGAGGGCGGGGAGGGGUAACCCUUCCCGACCCCUAU